rnacentral:tRNA from 1 species
CCUGGUGGCUCAGGUGGUAAAGCGUCUGCCUACAAAGCGGGAUACCCGGGUUCAAUCCCUGGGUCAGGA